ACUUAAAUUGAAGAGUUUGAUCAUGGCUCAGAUUGAACGCUGGCGGCAGGCCUAACACAUGCAAGUCGAGCGGUAGCACAGAGAGCUUGCUCUCGGGUGACGAGCGGCGGACGGGUGAGUAAUGUCUGGGAAACUGCCUGAUGGAGGGGGAUAACUACUGGAAACGGUAGCUAAUACCGCAUAAUGUCGCAAGACCAAAGUGGGGGACCUUCGGGCCUCAUGCCAUCAGAUGUGCCCAGAUGGGAUUAGCUUGUAGGUGGGGUAACGGCUCACCUAGGCGACGAUCCCUAGCUGGUCUGAGAGGAUGACCAGCCACACUGGAACUGAGACACGGUCCAGACUCCUACGGGAGGCAGCAGUGGGGAAUAUUGCACAAUGGGCGCAAGCCUGAUGCAGCCAUGCCGCGUGUGUGAAGAAGGCCUUCGGGUUGUAAAGCACUUUCAGCGGGGAGGAAGGCGGUGAGGUUAAUAACCUCAUCGAUUGACGUUACCCGCAGAAGAAGCACCGGCUAACUCCGUGCCAGCAGCCGCGGUAAUACGGAGGGUGCAAGCGUUAAUCGGAAUUACUGGGCGUAAAGCGCACGCAGGCGGUCUGUCAAGUCGGAUGUGAAAUCCCCGGGCUCAACCUGGGAACUGCAUUCGAAACUGGCAGGCUAGAGUCUUGUAGAGGGGGGUAGAAUUCCAGGUGUAGCGGUGAAAUGCGUAGAGAUCUGGAGGAAUACCGGUGGCGAAG
rnacentral:rRNA from 1 species